CCAACACUUUGUCAUGGAAGUCCCAGGUAGUUACACAAAAUUCAGCAGCCAACAAAUCUCUUGGCUGUGUUCGCCGCUCUGUUAGUAACAUUAAUGUCGUUAACGUUCGCCGUACUCUAUACCUUGCCAUUGUUCGUCCACAUCACGGGUAUGCUACUCAGGUUUGGUCCCCACAAUCAAUUGACCUUAUCAGACGUGUCGAAAGGGUCCAGCGUCGUGCUGGACAUAAAUAUAUCUCUAUUGUGGCAAAAUAAAUAAAUAAACACUUUCCGCCGG